AGAUGCUAAAAUUCCUUUCUAUAGUGUCAUUGAAUACAUCAGUUCCCCAGUAGCUGGGAUUACAAGCAUGCACCACUGAGCCCGGCUUUGCAGGACAAACCAGAGUUAAUCAGAUGAAAAGCAAGGAGGCAAGAUGAUUCUAAGUAGGAGCAGCAUCUGCAUGAGCCCAGAGGAUGGUAGCAAGAGUUUGGAAGUCUCAGAUGAUUCAGUCGCUUCCACGGUGCCCUCUGUCUGUGUCUUCAGCCUUCAUCUCCACCCGAAACAUGGGACCAACCCUAUAACAACUUCUGGGGACAUCUCUACUUGGAUGUUCUAAUGCACUUU